rnacentral:miRNA from 12 species
GGGCCCCGCGCUCCCCGGCCGCGAUCUGGCGGCCGCCUGGGCAGGCACGGCGGCGGCGGGGGGGGGGGGGGGGGGGGGGGGGGGGGGGGGG